CCCGGCAUCUUCCCACCUAGAGGUUGUAGACAUCACCCCUAACACAGAGGCAGAUCAGGCCUCUUCCCACCUGGAGGUUGUGGACAUCACCCCUAACACAGAGGCAGACCCGGCAUCUUCCCACCUGGAGGUUGUGGACAUCACCACUAACACAGAGGCAGACCCAGCAUUCUUCCCACCUGGAGGUUGAGGACAUCACCUCUAACACAGAGGCAGAUCAGGCUUCUUCCCACCUGGAUGUUGUGGACAUCACCAGUAACACAGAGGCAGACCCGGCUUCUUCCCACCUGAAUGUUGUGGACAUAACCCCUAAUACAGAGGCAGAGCCCAUCUCUUCCCUCUUGGAGGUUGUGGACGUCACACCUGAAGAAAGGACUCUCACGAUGGCCGUCUUCGCCACUCUGCCAGCUGACAUCCAAGCAGAGGAUGUUGCUGUGGUCAUCCCGGAUGUCACCCCACACGUCACCAAGGAUGUGACACUGGAUGUUCCAUGCAGAGCUAGGAAAGGGGCAGUCCGGCGAUUAUUUUGCAGGCUUUGGAGGGCAGUGUGCUGCUGCACCUGCCACAAGGAAGAGGAGGAACAAUAUUAAUUAUUCAUCAGACCUUCAGAAAUGGGAUUGAACCAUAGAGCAUUAAAUUAUUCACAUUAUAAUUGAACUCAAUUCUGCUUUUCUUCUGUUUACUACUUAAUUUCUUAACUUUUCUAUGAACUUUCACUUUGCAAGUGUGGAUUAGGUUGUGUAAAUAAGUGGGACACAUCCCAAUGUUGAUGCUUUGAAUAAUUUACUUUGUACAUUUAAAAAAAACAUGUCUUAUUUGACAACAAAAAUGGAGGGCGCUCAACCAACGUUGAUGUGAGGUGCAACCAAAUAUUUGAAUCAUCAUAGAAAAGGAAAAAGCCCAACUCUUGCUCACUAUAAAAAAUGCAUUGUUUUAUUCAAGCAAGGUUUAAAGAUUAACGUUUCGGCCUAGUCUUUGACGAUAUGCAAGUUCUGUUUGCCCAGUAAAAGGGUGACCCAGACUCACCCUGGUUCUUGAGGGUUGAAGACAGUGAAAAAUGAUCAUUAAGUAAAUGGGACUUUUCAAUUCUUGAAUACAAAUCUUUAAUGAACAAGAAUUUAAAUACAAUUGACUUGAGGAUCAGAGCAGGCAGGCUGACUGGCUAGCCCUGUGCCUCUACCUCUGUGCGGUUCAUCUCAACCAAGAGGUUGUGUGGGUUGUCUUUCUCUCUGUGGGUGUGAAUCACUAUGAGCUCUCCCUCUGCCUGCCAUUUGGCUGAUCAGAAGCCUUCUGCUCUUUCUUACUCACAUGAACAGGAGGAAUGGCCUCUGGGGUAACCUCCUCCUCUAUCUAAUGCCUCUUCCACCUCCUCUUUCUGACUGUGUUCGACUGAGGUCACUUGUUCUCUCUCACUGGGUGUUGGAUAGUUCCUCCUCCUCUGUGUCUUUGUGAUGGUGGAGGGAGUUAUCCUGUUCCGGCUCAUAGUGGUGUCCCCAUCCCUCCUAAGGAGGAGCCACUGAGACAUGUGAUGAGGCCAAGGAAGAUCACUCUGCAAGGACGGAAUAGGACACAUCACAACACUGCUGCUCAUUCAUAUUCAAACACACCUCAGAGUACGGACACAAACAUGGACCCCCCCACACACACACACACAAUGAACAAACCUGUACAUAUCAGAAUCAUACAUUCGACAGCCACCUCUUCCCCCACAUGUAUUGAUCCCCCACCUCAAACAUGUUGAGUCAAUUCCAGAUGCUGGAAUGGUGCUGGAAUGCAGGUGCAGUAGGGCCUAGUAUGUAAUGAUGUGAUACCAUGUGUAGCCCAUAUCCUGUGUUUGUGUUGAUGUUUUUUUAUUUUAUUUAAACAGGGAGUCACACUGAAAUUAAACAUCCAUUUUACCACA